rfam:Ixodes scapularis strain Wikel colony gcontig_1108379646126, whole genome shotgun sequence.
AAAAUGGCGUUUCUCCGCCGCGACGCGAAAGCCAAAGCAGCUCGCGCUUGCAACGCCACCAAGAUACUGUAAUAAUUUUUAU